rnacentral:rRNA from 1 species
UACGUAGGGUGCGAGCGUUGUCCGGAAUUAUUGGGCGUAAAGAGCUUGUAGGCGGUCUGUCGCGUCUGCUGUGAAAAUCCGGGGCUCAACCCUGGACCUGCAUUCGAUACGGGCAGACUAGAGUUCGGUAGGGGAGACUGGAAUUCCUGGUGUAGCGGUGAAAUGCGCAGAUAUCAGGAGGAACACCGGUGGCGAAGGCGGGUCUCUGGGCCGAAACUGGACGCUGAGGAGCGAAAGCGUGGGGAGCGA